rnacentral:rRNA from 1 species
CGGUAAUACGUAGGGGGCAAGCGUUGUCCGGAUUCAUUGGGCGUAAAGGGUACGCAGGCGGUUGAAAAAGUCAGAUGUUAAAUUCCGGGGCUCAACCCCGGCCCGCAUCUGAAACUUUUCGGCUUGAGUUAAGGAGAGGAAAGUGGAAUUCCUAGUGUAGCGGUGAAAUGCGUAGAUAUUAGGAGGAAUACCAGUGGCGAAGGCGACUUUCUGGACUUAAACUGACGCUGAGGCACGAAAGUGUGGGGAGCAAACAGGAUUAGAUACCCUGGUAGUCCACACCGUAAACGAUGAGUGCUAGGUGUCGGGGGUCAAACCUCGGUGCCGCAGCUAACGCAUUAAGCACUCCGCCUGGGGAGUACGUACCCAGUAUGAACUCAAAGGAUUGACGGGGACCCGCNAAGCAGCGGACAUGUGGUUUAUNC